AUGCCGGUGGCUGAGUAUAAGCAGUAGACUGUAGAUCUACCUACGGAGUUAAGUUCUCCCUGGCAAA
rnacentral:tRNA from 1 species